rnacentral:rRNA from 1 species
UCUGAUGUGAAAGCCUUCGGCUUAACCGAAGAAGUGCAUUAGAAACUGGGAAACUUGAGUGCAGAAGAGGACAGUGGAACUCCAUGUGUAGCGGUGAAAUGCGUAGAUAUAUGGAAGAACACCAGUGGCGAAGGCGGCUGUCUGGUCUGUAACUGACGCUGAGGCUCGAAAGUAUGGGGAGCGAACAGGAUUAGAUACCCUGGUAGUCCAUACCGUAAACGAUGAAUGCUAAGUGUUGGAGGGUUUCCGCCCUUCAGUGCUGCAGCUAACGCAUUAAGCAUUCCGCCUGGGGAGUACGACCGCAAGGUUGAAACUCAAAGGAAUUGACGGGGGCCCGCACAAGCGGUGGAGCAUGUGGUUUAAUUCGAAGCAACGCGAAGAACCUUACCAGGUCUUGACAUCCUUUGACCACUGUAGAGAUACAGCUUUCCCUUCGGGGACAAAGUGACAGGUGGUGCAUGGUUGUCGUCAGCUCGUGUCGUGAGAUGUUGGGUUAAGUCCCGCAACGAGCGCAACCCUUAUGACUAGUUGCCAGCAUUUAGUUGGGCACUCUAGUAAGACUGCCGGUGACAAACCGGAGGAAGGUGGGGAUGACGUCAAAUCAGCAUGCCCCUUAUGACCUGGGCUACACACGUGCUACAAUGGUCGGUACAACGAGUUGCGAACCCGCGAGGGUAAGCUAAUCUCUUAAAGCCGAUCUCAGUUCGGAUUGUAGGCUGCAACUCGCCUACAUGAAGCCGGAAUCGCUAGUAAUCGCGGAUCAGCACGCCGCGGUGAAUACGUUCCCGGGCCUUGUACACACCGCCCGUCACACCAUGAGAGUUUGUAACACCCGAAGUCGGUGGGGUAACC